rnacentral:rRNA from 1 species
UGAGGGAUAUUGGUCAAUGGGGGAAACCCUGAACCAGCAACGCCGCGUGAGGGAAGACGGUUUUCGGAUUGUAAACCUCUGUCCUCUGUGAAGAUGAUGACGGUAGCAGAGUAGGAAGCUCCGGCUAACUACGUGCC